rnacentral:rRNA from 1 species
CCUACGGGUGGCAGCAGUGGGGAAUAUUGGGCAAUGGGCGCAAGCCUGACCCAGCAACGCCGCGUGAAGGAAGAAGGCUUUCGGGUUGUAAACUUCUUUUAAGGGGGAAGAGCAGAAGACGGUAUCACUUGAAUAAGCCACGGCUAACUACGUGCCAGCAGCCGGGGUAAUACGUAGGUGGCAAGCGUUGUCCGGAUUUACUGGGUGUAAAGGGCGUGCAGCCGGAGAGACAAGUCAGAUGUGAAAUCCACGGGCUCAACCCGUGAACUGCAUUUGAAACUGGUUCCCUUGAGUGUGAGAGAGGUAAGCGGAAUUCCUGGUGUAGCAGUGAAAUGCGUAGAUAUAAGGAGGAACACCAGUGGCGAAGGCGAAUUACUGGACGAUAACUGACGGUGAGGCGCGAAAGCGUGGGGAGCAAACAGGAUUAGAUACCCCUGUAGUC